GCGCAGCAGUCGCGAAAACUUUACAAUGUGCGAAAGCACGAUAAGGGAACUCUGAGUGCCUCCUAAGGAGGCUGUUCUGAUGUCUAAAAAGCAACAGAAGUAAGGGCUGGGUAAGACCGGUGCCAGCCGCCGCGGUAACACCGGCAGCCCAAGUGGUAGCCACGUUUAUUGGGUCUAAAGCGUUCGUAGCCGGCCAGGUAAGUUCCUUGGUAAAUUUAGCCGCUUAACGGUUAAGCUUUCAGGGAAUACUGCUUGGCUUGGGACUGGGAGAGGUCAGAGGUACUCCGGGGGUAGGGGUGAAAUCUAUUAAUCCCUGGGGGACCACCGGUAGCGAAGGCGUCUGACCAGACCAGGUCCGACGGUGAGGGACGAAGGCUAGGGGGCGCGAACCGGAUUAGAUA
rnacentral:rRNA from 1 species